ensembl:lncRNA
UCCCAUCUGCUGACUUGAGCAGAGGCUGAGGCCUGGCUGUCUCUGCUAGGUCGUGCUACCGAGGUCAUGCCACCAAGGUCAUGCCACCGAUGAUGAUUCGUGUUUGCUGUCCCCACAGGACUGCUGGUGUAUCUGUGAAGUGUCUGCAAGUGGAUCGAGCUGCUGCAGCUGCUGCCUGCUAACGUAGGAUCUGAACUGCUGAUUUCCAAACAACACAGACUGUGAUGUCUCACCUGGAUACAGACAGGACCACAGGCUAAGGAACUGGGAGCUGUUCUGUGGACAGGAAGAAGGUUACUCAGGACCACCCCUUCCCCUGUUGCGGGGAGUCAGCCGACGACGUGCACAGUGCGCAGACGCC